rnacentral:lncRNA from 1 species
GGACAGAGUUUUUCCUGUCCGUCCAAGGCUCAUCACAUGUACAUUUUCAUCAAUAGAGAAAAGCACUAGCGAAAACAUACACAAACGGCUUACACGAGGGUAAGCAAUAGCCCUGAGUGAAAGAUAGGAAACUAGUAUUUAUUUUGUACUAUGAUUCAAUUUAGAUCAUAUACAUUACAUCCAACUUGUACAUUUACAAUUCCUUACAUUUCAUUGCAUCAUUUCAUCAUUUCUUUCUUACAUCACAUUUACCUCAAAAGGGAGCUUUACAUUCUUUCUUUACAUCACUAAUCAUCAA